UACGAAGGGUGCUAGCGUUGUUCGGAAUUACUGGGCGUAAAGCGCGCGUAGGCGGCGAUAAAAGUCAGGGGUGAAAUCCCAGAGCUCAACUCUGGAAUUGCCUUUGAAACUGUAUUGCUAGAGUGUCGGAGGGGAUAGCGGAAUUGCUAAUGUAGAGGUGAAAUUCGUAGAUAUUAGCAGGAACACCGGUGGCGAAGGCGGCUAUCUGGACGACAACUGACGCUGAGGCGCGAAGGCGUGGGGAUCAAACAGG
rnacentral:rRNA from 1 species